AGGUGACUUUGGACACGACGACGC
rnacentral:siRNA from 1 species